CCCCAGCGGCUCAGAUGGUAAAGAAUCUGCCUGCAAUGUAGGAGACCUGGGUUCGAUCCCUGGGUUGGGGA
rnacentral:tRNA from 1 species